UUGAUUCUAUAGUAUUUUUAUUAGUGCUGGAUAUACAGCAGGAACAGUAGCUUUUCAUUUGUAUUCAUUGGGACUGUAUACCCCUUCCUUUUUAUGCUGAAGAGGAGAGGAUACUCAACCUAAUCAAGAAAUGAAGGAAAAGAAAUUGGAGAUUUUGAGGACCGCCUUCUAUAUUUUAUUUGUGGCAACAGUAGCAUCUUCAAAACCAGUCAGUCUACAUGGAUUCCAAUUCAGAAGCAUGAUAGCUGACAGCCUGGAAUUGUCUGAGUCCUCAGAGUCCAGCAAGUCUUCCUCAGAGAAUGGUCAGCCAAUGGUCGCUGGCACUGAGAUCGCAAUACCAGACACUCAGGAGGAGACAGACCCACCAGACAGUGAAGCUAUAGCCUCUGAAACAGCCUCAGAAGUUGAUGAUGCUUUAAUUGCUUCACAAACCACACUUCAAACGGAUGCCUCAUCAGCAGAUGCACUAAAUGGGACAGACACUGAGGCUACCUCACAGCAUCCAGUCAUCGUCGCAUUGACGGAUUCUCCCAGUCUGACUUCUGAUAAUGUCACAACCCAUAUACGGUCUAUGGUCACAACGGCUCUGCCAUCAAUCACUGACACAGCCACAAUUCAAACAUUAUAUGUGGGCACAACUUCUCCCCCGGGCCCAUACCACAUGCCCAUUAUGGAGCAGCCAACUCCUCCACCAGUCUCCCCAAUACCAAGCCUAACUCCCCAGCAGCUAGUUCCAUUGGGAACCACUGAUGACAUAGCUGGUGUGCCAGGUUGUUUUACUGUAGUAUACAUAACCAGCCCUCAUGCUCAGCCAGUUCCUGUUAGAGGUGAUAACAUUUAAAGCAGAGAGGAAGUUAUUAUAUCAUUGAUUAAAGUCAGACAUAAAAGCUGGCUUCUUUUUUUCAUUUGUCUUUAUGAACAUAUGAGCACAUUGCAGCCACAUAGUGAGCUGGAGGGGCGCCUGUGCUGCAACUGGCUGAAGCGCUCAUGAAAAUGAUUCACUAUAAUAUUUUGCACUAUAUAAGUGACACAUAUGUAGAUGCACUGUACUUUAUAUUGCUCAGUGUCUUCCAUGAGUCAGUCUCACAUGUAUUUGUAUUUUUUCCCAUCUUUUAUCGUGUGAUUUAUUUUGAAAGGUGACACAGAUUGCAUUAACACUGUCAACAACAUUUUAGUCUAUUUGUAAAAGAGGACCCACCAUCUGUAAAUAAAUGCUCUUUAAACAUUUAGAAAAAGGACGGAAGUCAGAAAGAGUACCUUUUUGUGUGCUGCAGGAUAUUUUGGGGCUUUUGAUUAUACUGCAAAACUUAUUACAGGCGAUUUGCAGAUAAUGCCAGCUGUUGGGCAUUCUUUGUGACUCCCAUUGUGUCCUCAGUUAUCAUUGAAUGAAUGAAUGAUGAUUACAUUCCUGUUUUAAUUUUGUACUGUAAAGUUUGUCUUGUAUACAAUUGAAUGUCUGACCCAGAAAGACAGAGACCCUGGAGCAGAUGUUGUUUAACUUCUGGUAUGAAUGCAAUGCAGUGAGUGAACAAGUGGGUGUUGUUUUUUCUCCCGGUAUUACAGAGACACUGUUGUUGAGAGAUACCAAAGCUCAUGGCAUGAAGUAUGUUUGCCACCGCACAACACACAUUGAUCA